rnacentral:rRNA from 1 species
CCUACGGGAGACAGCAGUAGGGAAUCUUCCACAAUGGGCGAAAGCCUGAUGGAGCAACGCCGCGUGGGUGAAGAAGGUCUUCGGAUCGUAAAACCCUGUUGUUAGAGAAGAAAGUGCGUGAGAGUAACUGUUCACGUUUCGACGGUAUCUUACCAGAAAGCCACGGCUAACUACGUGCCAGCAGCCGCGGUAAUACGUAGGUGGCAAGCGUUAUCCGGAUUUAUUGGGCGUAAAGGGAACGCAGGCGGUCUUUUAAGUCUGAUGUGAAAGCCUUCGGCUUAACCGGAGUAGUGCAUUGGAAACUGGGUAACUUGAGUGCAGAAGAGGAGAGUGGAACUCCAUGUGUAGCGGUGAAAUGCGUAGAUAUAUGGAAGAACACCAGUGGCGAAAGCGGCUCUCUGGUCUGUAACUGACGCUGAGGUUCGAAAGCGUGGGUAGCAAACAGGAUUAGAUACCCUAGUAGUC